rnacentral:sRNA from 1 species
UUUUAGUUCCUUAGUUACAUUAUUAAAUCUUGUACACCUAGCCUGAUGGUAAGUCCGUUCUGGUUAAGGAAGCUCUAUGUUGUCUUUGGAUGUUAUGGAACACGGUUACACGAAGUCUAUAUAUACAUUUUUGUAGCCAUUUUGUGAAAUAAAUCCUGUAGUUGGGACUUAUUUACAAUGGUUGCCACUGAAUUUUAAUAUUUGUUUUUGAUAAUUAGAAAAACAAUCUUCAAAUUAAAUAUUUGACAUUUAACAAUCUUCCUAAAAUCUCUCUACAUUAACUACACGAUUGGUUACUAAAAUAAAACUUUCAAAAUAUUUAAUAUCAUUUAAUUACUACAAAAUUAUCAUUAUUGAUAUUGUUUUUCUGCAUGACUAUUACAAUUCAAUUAUAUUCAUCAAACCGCAGAGAUAUUUGAUAGCAUUUAAUUACUACAAAAUUACAAAAUAUUUAGACAAUGAUUCAUAAACAUAUGAUAAAUAAGAUCAACAUUAAUAAAAUAAAUGAGUUUUCUUUACGGGACGGGUUGGCGGGACGGGUUUGGCAGGACGUUACUUAAUAACAAUUCUAAACUAUAAAAUAAAAAUAUUUUAUAGAUAGUUACAUAGAUAGUUACAAAUUGCAAACUUUUAUAUAUACUAACUUUAAAAUAUAAUUUGUCUCCGCGGUAUACCGCAGGUGAAAAUCUAGUUAAAAGUUAAAACUCAAACCAGAGAAAAAUCACAAUUGAGAUAUGCUGAUAAUUUAUUAACUAUAAAUUGUUUGACUACUAUAUUGAAUCAGCAACUAGAAUCUUUUCAUUUUAUUAUUAUCUCAAAAAAUUGCU